GAUGAACGCUGGCGGCGUGCUUAACACAUGCAAGUCGAACGGUGAACCCGGAGCUUGCUCUGUGGGAUCAGUGGCGAACGGGUGAGUAACACGUGAGCAACCUGCCCCUGACUCUGGGAUAAGCGCUGGAAACGGCGUCUAAUACUGGAUAUGUGACGUGACCGCAUGGUCUGCGUUUGGAAAGAUUUUUCGGUUGGGGAUGGGCUCGCGGCCUAUCAGCUUGUUGGUGAGGUAAUGGCUCACCAAGGCGUCGACGGGUAGCCGGCCUGAGAGGGUGACCGGCCACACUGGGACUGAGAGACGGCCCAGACUCCUACGGGAGGCAGCAGUGGGGAAUAUUGCACAAUGGGCGCAAGCCUGAUGCAGCAACGCCGCGUGAGGGAUGACGGCCUUCGGGUUGUAAACCUCUUUUAGCAGGGAAGAAGCGAAAGUGACGGUACCUGCAGAAAAAGCGCCGGCUAACUACGUG
rnacentral:rRNA from 1 species